rnacentral:rRNA from 1 species
UGCGUAGGUGGUGGGAUAAGUCGGAUGUGAAAUCUCGGAGCUUAACUCCGAAACUGCAUUGGAAACUGUCCUGCUAGAGGUUUGGAGGGGGGACUGGAAUACUUGGUGUAGCAGUGAAACGCGUAGAUAUCAAGUGGAACACCGGUGGCGAAGGCGAGUCCCUGGACAACACCUGACACUGAGGCACGAAAGCUAGGGGAAGCAAACAG